UACAGAGGUGGCAAGCGUUGUUCGGAAUUACUGGGCGUAAAGGGCGCGUAGGCGGCCUUGUAAGUCCCGUGUGAAAUCCCUCGGCUCAACUGAGGAACUGCACGGGAAACUGCUUGGCUUGAGUUCGGGAGAGGGAAGCGGAAUUCCGGGUGUAGCGGUGGAAAUGCGUAGAUAUCCGGAGGAACACCGGUGGCGAAGGCGGCUUCCUGGCCGACACUGGACGCUGAGGCGCGAAAGCCUAGGGGAGCGAAACGGG
rnacentral:rRNA from 1 species